GAGGGUAUAGCUCAAGUGGUAGAGGGCCUGCUUAGCAUGCAUGAAGUCCUGGGUUCAAUCCCCAGUAACUCCU
rfam:Camelus ferus unplaced genomic scaffold scaffold739, whole genome shotgun sequence.